UGGGGAAUUUUGCACAAUGGAGGAAACUCUGAUGCAGCGACGCCGCGUGAGUGAUGAAGAUCUUCGGAUUGUAAAACUCUGUCCUUAGUGAAGAUAAUGACAGUAACUAAGAAGCAAGCCCCGGCUAACUACGUGCCAGCAGCCGCGGUAAUACGUAGGGGGCUAGCGUUGUCCGGAAUCACUGGGCGUAAAGGGUUCGCAGGCGGAAAUGCAAGUCAGGUGUAAAAGGCAGUAGCUUAACUACUGUAAGCAUUUGAAACUGCAUAUCUUGAGAAGAGUAGAGGUAAGUGGAAUUUUUAGUGUAGCGGUGAAAUGCGUAGAUAUUAAAAAGAAUACCGGUGGCGAAGGCGACUUACUGGGCUCAUUCUGACGCUGAGGAACGAAAGCGUGGGUAGCAAACAGG
rnacentral:rRNA from 1 species